CCUGUAGUACCGCAAUGUGCCUGCGGAGGGCCUCGUUCUCUUUCUUCAGCAACUUCACCUCUGCCUCCAACUUGGCCUCCUUCACUUUUUCUUUCUUACUGGCCUCCAGUUCCUUCUCCUGUGAAAUGCAAUCAAACAAAGACAAGAGCUCUUCCAAGGUGCUGCCCAAGAGGACAAGAAGCAGAAGACCUACGUCACCACAAUGACCGCAAACAUCACAACAGUGCAAAUGACAUAGCAGGGAGUUUUUAUCAAGCUGUGUGUUAAUCUGCUCUGCACUGCUGCGCCGGUGAAGACGUGGGUGUAUGUGCAACCUCUUCACCUGCUAAACUACCUUUCUGAAAGAAAUUCAGUCUCCCACACAAAUACCAUUUAUGGUUGAGCUGGAAGAUGGUUUGGGCUUUAUGACACAGCUGAGCAAAACAUGAGCUGAGACUGGUCAUCUUCUGACGGCCCUCAUAUGUGAUAUCAGCCUGAUCCGGGUCGAUCUCUCCCAGUAACAGAUCCACAUCCACAAAC